rfam:Helianthus annuus linkage group 8, whole genome shotgun sequence.
AUAGCAGUGAUGAGGUAAAACACAUGAGGAUGUGUUAAGGGAAGUGGUCAAGACGAUUAAAACCGUUUUGCCGUGAUCCCCAAUUUAAACGACUUCUCCUUCCACUGAGCUUU